rnacentral:rRNA from 1 species
GCCCUGAUGUGGGGGAUAACCAUUGGAAACGAUGGCUAAUACCGCAUGAUGCCUACGGGCCAAAGAGGGGGACCUUCGGGCCUCUCGCGUCAGGAUAUGCCUAGGUGGGAUUAGCUAGUUGGUGAGGUAAGGGCUCACCAAGGCGACGAUCCCUAGCUGGUCUGAGAGGAUGAUCAGCCACACUGGAACUGAGACACGGUCCAGACUCCUACGGGAGGCAGCAGUGGGGAAUAUUGCACAAUGGGCGCAAGCCUGAUGCAGCCAUGCCGCGUGUGUGAAGAAGGCCUUCGGGUUGUAAAGCACUUUCAGUCGUGAGGAAGGCGGUGUAGUUAAUAGCUGCAUUAUUUGACGUUAGCGACAGAAGAAGCACCGGCUAACUCCGUGCCAGCAGCCGCGGUAAUACGGAGGGUGCGAGCGUUAAUCGGAAUUACUGGGCGUAAAGCGCAUGCAGGUGGUUUGUUAAGUCAGAUGUGAAAGCCCGGGGCUCAACCUCGGAAUUGCAUUUGAAACUGGCAGACUAGAGUACUGUAGAGGGGGGUAGAAUUUCAGGUGUAGCGGUGAAAUGCGUAGAGAUCUGAAGGAAUACCGGUGGCGAAGGCGGCCCCCUGGACAGAUACUGACACUCAGAUGCGAAAGCGUGGGGAGCAAACAGGAUUAGAUACCCUGGUAGUCCACGCCGUAAACGAUGUCUACUUGGAGGUUGUGGCCUUGAGCCGUGGCUUUCGGAGCUAACGCGUUAAGUAGACCGCCUGGGGAGUACGGUCGCAAGAUUAAAACUCAAAUGAAUUGACGGGGGCCCGCACAAGCGGUGGAGCAUGUGGUUUAAUUCGAUGCAACGCGAAGAACCUUACCUACUCUUGACAUCCAGAGAACUUUCCAGAGAUGGAUUGGUGCCUUCGGGAACUCUGAGACAGGUGCUGCAUGGCUGUCGUCAGCUCGUGUUGUGAAAUGUUGGGUUAAGUCCCGCAACGAGCGCAACCCUUAUCCUUGUUUGCCAGCGAGUAAUGUCGGGAACUCCAGGGAGACUGCCGGUGAUAAACCGGAGGAAGGUGGGGACGACGUCAAGUCAUCAUGGCCCUUACGAGUAGGGCUACACACGUGCUACAAUGGCGCAUACAGAGGGCAGCCAACUUGCGAAAGUGAGCGAAUCCCAAAAAGUGCGUCGUAGUCCGGAUUGGAGUCUGCAACUCGACUCCAUGAAGUCGGAAUCGCUAGUAAUCGUGGAUCAGAAUGCCACGGUGAAUACGUUCCCGGGCCUUGUACACACCGCCCGUCACACCAUGGGAGUGGGCUGCAAAAGAAGUAGGUAGUUUAACCUUCGGGG